rnacentral:rRNA from 1 species
UACGUAGGCAGCAAGCGUUGUUCGGAGUUACUGGGCGUAAAGGGUGCGUAGGCGGCCCUGUAAGUAUGGUGUGAAAUCUCCCGGCUUAACUGGGAGGGUGCGCUAUAGACUGCGGGGCUAGAGUGUGGGAGAGGAAAGUGGAAUUCCUGGUGUAGCGGUGAAAUGCGUAGAUAUCAGGAGGAACACCGGUGGUGUAAACGGCUUUCUGGACCAUAACUGACGCUGAGGCACGAAAGCGUGGGUAGCAAACAGG